GACGUAGGUGACGAACGUUAUCCGGAAUUAUUGGGCGUAAAGGGUGCGUAGAUGGCCUGAUAAGUUAGCAGUGGGAAAUCGAGGCUCAACCUCGUGGAAGCUGGUAAUACUGUCAGGCUCGAGUGCAGGAGAGGUUAACGGAACUCCAUGUGGAGCGGUAAAAUGUGUAGAUAUAUGGAAGAACACCAAUAACGGCGAAGGCAGUUAACUAUUCUGUUACUGACAUUGAGGCACGAAAGCGUGGGGGCAAAACGG
rnacentral:rRNA from 1 species